CAGCAAACCUACUCUUUAUGAGCCGAACCAAUGAUAUUGGCAUUGCAAGUGCCAUGCUCUUCCAGCUGAGCUGCAGGAACCCUGUAGAAUUCUAUGGCAUUAAACAUGCUGUAAACAUUAAACAUGUAGUAAACUGUGUGUAGUAAACUUAGCAAAGAUAAACUGUAUAUUGUUGCACUGUAAUUUGUACAACAAUGUGUUUAUUUGUACAGUAAUGUAUCUACUUCCCAUUUGACAGGCAAUAGGAUCUGUGUGAUAUAUUCUAACUAAAACAUUGACGUGUGUUUUACAUGUAUCUUUCCUUGCUAAAGAUGAAAGAAUUCAAUAGGCUCCUAUUUCAGAAGAAUUAUGGUAACUCUCCUAUGCAGUGAAUGAGAGAGAGAGGGAGAGAAAGAGAGAGAGAGAGAGAGAGAGAGUGCUGCAGACCCACUUCUACACUCCUUGUUUUCUCUCAUCCGCUUAUAAAGGCACUUAGUGCAUUCCCUCUGCCUCUUCCUCCUCUCCUGCAUCUCUUCCUCUGAGGGAAUGCAUUAACAUUUUUAUCUCAGAUUUAAUUUCUGUGCAUAAUUUAUUGGAACCUGAUGUUCUGCAGGAGUGCCUGGAAUGAAAUCUGGGAAUGUGUAAAUACAUUAGUCAUAUAGAACCUCUGAAUGUGUGUUUAACUACCUAGUUUCUGCAAGCUCCACCUCAUUGUCUGGUUGUGAUUGUCUGGAAUCCUCAUGCUAAAGAAGAGAAACCCUGAGGUGCUGAUGGACCGGGAGGUUCUGCUGGAUCUGGACUACAGUGGUGAGACUCAUGGUUCAGACAGUUAUGGAAGCCUGCAAAAUGGGGGAUUCAUCCCUCCCAGAUAUUUGAACACUGCAGCUAAUGAUGACGAUGAUGACCCCAUCUAUAUUCACUGUGAGAGAACAGCAAGCCCACGUGAACGACCCCCAGGCAACUACUUCAGAGAUGGCCAUACCAAAAUAGACUUUGUGCUGGUGUGGGAGGUGAAGGUACGACGCAAACGUCGAAGUCGUGGACAAUCGCAUGGAGAGUCAACAGAGGUGGAAGAUAAAGCAGCACAAGAGGAGAGCAGUUCAGAGAGAAGGAAAGCUCAGCUGGCCCGAUGGAGGGACAAAUUCAUCCAGAACCUUAAGAGUGCUGGACUGUUCAUGGAGAAGGAGGAAUCAUCCAGUACAAAGAAGACUAUACACUAUCUGAAGCUUAGUGCCCCAUGGGAUGUGUUGGUUUACUAUGCUGAGGAGUUGUGUCUUAGGGCACCUUUGCAGGCUCAGCCGAAUCCAGACUUCAACACUUCAGCUCGAGUUCUUCAGAAGCUCCGGAUCCCAAACAUCAUGACAGACUCUGUUCCCAACCGUCCCGUUGACUACUACACGUGUGCCUUUCGCAAGUCCAAGAUGGAAAAGUUUCUGGGCUUUGAUGACCGUGAUAAUUACUUCACCAGCACACAAAGACAUCGAAUUGUGUAUGAAAUAUUAGCAAGGACUGUAUAUGGUAGGAGAAAGCAUGCUGAGGUUGGAGUCGCACGUUUGCUGAAUGAGGGGGCUUUCACAGGUGCAUUCCCUCUACACGAGGGCCCCUUUGAGCACCCUGUUCAAGACAUCAAGCCUGAUAAGUUGAAUAAGAGGCAAGUGCUAUACCACUAUUGGGCCAGCUGGCUAAAAUGGUAUAAGUACCAACCUCUGGAUCAUAUCCGUGAAUACUUUGGAGAGAAGAUUGCACUUUACUUUGCAUGGUUGGGGUUUUACACAGCCUGGCUCCUACCAGCUGCAUUGGUUGGUAUGUGUGUCUUUGUGUCGGGUAUUAUGAGAAUGGGAUCCAAUACCCCAGCGAAGGAAAUCUGUGAGAGUAGAGGACUCUAUCUAAUGUGUCCUCUGUGUGAAACCUGUAAACCCUGGAAUAUGUCAGACAUCUGUCCCAUGGCCAAGGUGGGUUAUCUGUUUGACCAUCCCGGCACAGUCUUCUUCAGUGUGUUCAUGUCAUUGUGGGCGGUCACGUUCCUGGAGUAUUGGAAACGCAAGAAUGCCACACUCGCUCACCACUGGGACUGCAUGGAUUUCCAUGAAGAGGAGGAACCACCACGUCCUGAGUUUGCUGCCAUGGCUCCUGCAAUGGAGGAGAACCCAGUGACCGGGGUGAAGGAGCCCUACUUCCCUGAAAAAGCCCGGAUUUCACGCAUGCUGACCGGGUCUAUGGUGAUCAUUAUAAUGCUGUGUGUAGUGAUGAUCUUCCUGGUCACAGUGAUCAUUUACCGCAGUAUUGUGAGUGUAAUGAUGUUUGAAACUGGGAGUUCUGUUCUGCGCACUCAGGCUGGGAAUAUUGCCAAUAUCUCCAGCAGUUUGGUGAACCUGGCUCUGAUCUUGCUGUUGGGGCAGGUCUAUACAGCUUUAGCAGAACAGCUCACUAAAUGGGAAAUGCACAGGACUCAGACACAAUAUGAAGAUGCCUUUACAUUUAAAGUCUUCAUCUUCCAGUUUGUCAACUUCUACUCAUCACCCUUCUAUGUGGCUUUCUUCAAGGGCAGAUUUGUGGGCUAUCCUGGUCACUAUGGGACAUUGUUUGGGAUGAGGAAUGAGGAUUGUGGACCAGGAGGCUGUCUGAUUGAACUGGCUGAGCAACUUUGUAUCAUCAUGGUGGGAAAACAGCUUAUCAGCAAUGUUCAAGAGUUCGUCAUCCCUAAAAUUAAGGCCUGGAGGCAGAAACGGGCCUUAUCAUCUGUGAAGAAGGCCCAGAGUGCAGAGGAGGAGCCUAAGUGCUGGGAGCAGGACUUUGAGCUCAUUCCAUGUGAGGGGCUUUUUGAUGAGUACCUGGAGAUCGUCCUGCAGUUUGGCUUCAUCACCAUUUUUGUGGCUGCGUUUCCCCUUGCUCCUCUAUUUGCUCUACUGAAUAACUGGGUGGAGGUGAGACUGGAUGCUCACAAAUUUGUUUGUGAAUACCGGAGGCCCGUGGCAGAGCGGGCCAAGCACAUCGGUGUGUGGUUCAUCAUACUGGAGGCGCUGUCCCAUGUGUCAGUCAUAGUCAAUGCUUUUCUCAUUGCGUUUACCUCUGAUUUUCUGCCCCGUCUGCUGUACCAGUACAAGUUUAACAAUGACCUGCAUGGUUAUGUAAAUUUCACUCUGGCUUACUCUCCCCCAAGCUACAAUCACUCCAACCACACCGUAUGCAGAUAUAAAGCAUUCCGAGAUGAAAAUGGAAGAUACACACUGGUGUACUGGGAGCUCCUGGCUGUCAGACUGGGCUUUAUCAUCGCCUUUGAGAGAUCGCCACAGGUGCUCUGCCACUCUCAUCCAGAAACAUCAAUAACCAUGUGGUGUUCUUCGUUCUGCGUGCCAUUGACUGGAUGGUUCCAGACAUACCUGAAUCGUUGGAGCUGAAGAUCAAGAGGGAGCGUUACCUGGCUAAGCAGGCGCUGGCUGAUAACCAGGAGGCCCUGCUGCAAGCAAAACGUCUAGCUACGUGAGACUGACGUACAGAGCAGAGUUUUCUCCAGGAGGGGGCGCACUCGCUAUGAAAACACUUGACACCCACCUGAUACAAGAUGGACAUCUUAGUAUUUGCUGAAAUAAAGUGCACUUGGCUUGAGUUUUGUGGUGGUUGAUGUGUGUGUGAUUGUGUGCGUGGUCUGUGCAUGCAUCUGUAAAUGUAGAGGUUUAUGCCAAAAUAAUUUACUAUCACCUCUACUUGUGAUUAGGCUGUUAACAUAUGACUUCCUAUGGCUUCAAAUAUAGUGAGACAUGUGAUCACAUUCUGCCCUCCUUAAAAUGUUUUUAUACAUUAUCACCACAGUAUAUAUUUUUACUAAUGAGAUGGCAGAUGAAUUCGAAAUAGCCCAUUCUUCAUUAUGUGAUAAUGUAAAAUUCUCUUCUAAAAAAUGCCUAAACAUAUUUGCCUUUGUCAUGUUUAUCUCCGGGCUGUUUAAUGUAGUGUGUUUUGAAAUAAAGCUAGUUUCAAAAAGCA